CAGUCGCCGCGGUAAUACGAAGGGGGCUAGCGUUGCUCGGAAUGACUGGGCGUAAAGGGCGCGUAGGCGGUUCGUACAGUUGGAUGUGAAAUUCCUGGGCUUAACCCGGGGGCUGCAUUCAAUACGUGCGGGCUUGAGUGUGGAAGAGGGUUGUGGAAUUCCCAGUGUAGAGGUGAAAUUCGUAGAUAUUGGGAAGAACACCGGUGGCGAAGGCGGCAACCUGGUCCAUAACUGACGCUGAGGCGCGAAGGCGUGGGGAGCAAACAGGAUUAGAGACCCCGGUAGUCCCUGUCUCUUAUAC
rnacentral:rRNA from 1 species